rfam:Beta vulgaris subsp. vulgaris 0047.scaffold00169.con0023.1, whole genome shotgun sequence.
AUCUCAUGACGAGGACAAUGCCUUUGUAAAUCCUUGUACCUUUCCCAAGCUUCAUAGAGUGAUUCACCAUCCAAUUAAGUAAAGGAUGUGAUGGCAUUACACAGCU